GUCUUCUCUGGCUGUGCGGGUAGGGUUAUCCUGUGGGUUGUUUUCACUGUGUCUGCGCGCUGCAUGUGAUUUAAACUACCGUAGCAAAGAAUAGUUUAGCUGUAGGCUUCGAAACGCAUUCUAGAAUGACAUUUACAAGCAAUACAAAACCCGAUAAGAUGCAAUACACACACUUUACAGUGUUAAUUUGAGCACUUUUUGGUUGAUCUCGGGCUCUAUUAGCCCUUGACUCUCAGUUGCAUUAUAUUACACUAGUCAUUGGACAAAUGCGUAUUUUGUAGGGGGAGAUUUAAGAGCCCAGAUGCCUGGUCUGAACAUUAACACCUAUCACAUGUGGUACAGUUUUGGAAGCAUAAGGACAUUAUCUUUAUCAGCUAGAAAACAAAAAGUUGAAUUGAUACAAAUGUAUGGGGUUAGUGUCCCCCCACGGGCAUAUCGCCAUGUUACAGCACUUUAACGGAGAACGGUGCUAAUUAGCUGUCUCGCCUACUCUGGAAGUGCAGUUUCGUUGGAUGGAGGCACCCAUAGCUGUAUGGAUCUAUUCAAAUCUGCUACAGCUACAGAGAUGGGCUCCUGGAUCACCUCAAGGUCACCCUUGAUCGAGCACCGCAUAUGUGGAAGCUGUGCAUCCCAGGACCCCUGUCGGCCCAGUGUGAGAGGCCUGACAAGGAGGCGGGCCUAGCUAUUUGUCUCCCAUGUCAAUCUUGAGGGUAACUGAAGCCUGCUUGAUUGAAGUGGGGUAUGCGGGUCCCCAUCAAUCUCUGUAGGUGGUUGAGUUUUCUAAAGUCAAAGUAAAUCACGUUUACGUGAUGACAUCACACUUUGUAUUGUUUCUUCAAGCAUUCGGACAGGAGUGCAGCGUUACAAAUUGUAUGAGUCAAAGGGUCCUGCACACUGUUGGGUGGCCGGGUGCCCAUAUAAGGCAUAUGGCUCUAAAAUAUUUCUUAAAUGUCAAAUGAUGUCUCAUCAUUAUUUCUCAUCAUCAUUUAUGUUGAUCAAUAUUUCGGUUGUGCUGGCCUAAUUUGUAAAUGAUUAAAUACAUGUCUGAUCAAUACAUACAAUUCUGAAUAUAUUGUUAUUUAUAAUGCUAAUGAAGAGGCACCAAUAAAUUGUCCAGUACACUCAUUAUAUGCUGUUUUCAUAUACAUACCUUUAUGUCUACGCUUCUAAGGUGUCUCGGGCUUUACUAAUUAUUGUGAAGAAAUGUAUUCUGUAAUUAGUUACAAAACAAUAGUCUGACUAAACUUCAUAUGGAGAAAAGGAAUGCUGUAUUCUAUUUUGGAAACAUCUGUCUUU